UUUCCAUCAUGAUGGCGAUCAUGGCGACUCUUAAGUAAAAACGUGUUAGCACGUGUCGCGAGAUUUGGAGUUGUUAGAUCAUAAAAAUUUUUGCAAAACUGUUGCGUUAUGUUAAACGCAACUAUGUUUUUGCAAAAAAGUAGUCAACGUUACUGGUUGAAUAAGCACUACAUAGUGCCUGUCGAGCGCUUGCUAUCCUAUGGCUCUUGUUAACUGUAUCGUGACGUCAAAUUAAUGUUUUCAACAUAGUAAGUCUGUGGUUAUUAUUGCUUAAGUGUCCCUGCCUCAACUUACUUAUAAAUAAAUAUCACAGACAGUUCUUAAUUUAUAUUACAAAUUGGAAUUGGCAAGGCAUAUUCGGCAGAUUGGCUAGUGGUUGAGAUGUAUAGCUACUAUUGGACAAUUCUGAAUAGCCAUUUGAAACCAUCAUCUAUUGGAUCAAUUGUGACCUGAAAUGUUGGCUGGGACAGUUAUUUUUGUGAUCCAGGAUUCCAAUUUGUGUCUUAUAUAUAAAUUAUAUUACUGAAAAUCUUAUUGACUAAUAUGUUUACUUCCUAAUUAAAUUACUUGUACAUUGUUUUUUUGUGACAUGCCCAAUAUUCAUAGUCAGUCAGAAGAUUCUUAAGUAAUGUUUUAUAAUCUUUGGUUGGUGCUCCGUGGAUAUUUUAAAACAUUACUUAAGAUUAUUCUGUAGACCCGAUUAUGAAUACCACUCAAGUCUUUUUUUUUUUUUUAACUUGAAACACGAGACUACUAUGCUGGAACCAGUUUUUAUAUCUAAACCUGUAGAAACUAUUGAAUAAAGAUUUUGAUAAUUAAA